GAGUCCCAGUCUGGAGUCCAUUUCCAUCUGAGGCAGAGUGCUUCAAGUUGUUUCUGACAGAGGAGCUGGUGGGAAACAUAGUACAGGAGACCAAUCAAAUCAUCAAAUGUAUUUAUAAAGCCCUUUUUACAUCAGCCGAUGUCACCAAGUGCUGUACAGAAACAGUCUAUGUUAUGGAAAGAGCAGGUGUCCUUAAUGUUUUGUACACUCAGUAUAUGUUGUGUCUACAAGCUCAUUCCCACAGAAAACUGCAGAGGGAAGCAGUACCACCCAGUCAACCAUCAGACUCCAUUGUGAGACGCCUCACAGAGGAUAUUCAACCAUCAUUGCAAAUCCAAGAUGUCAAUAUCAACAAGAAACCACAAACAGUAUUUGCCAAUAUCAUAACUGGAACUGGACAUCUUCCCAGCUGAAGAUUGAGGACAGCUUUUGUAUGCUAACGUUCUCUCCUUAACAGUUUUACUGGAUGGAAACACAGCAAGAAAACACAUAGGCCAAUAUUGACUGAACAACAACUGCAUUUCCACCCCCACCUCUAAAGGCAUAGUAUCAUGGCAGGU